rnacentral:tmRNA from 1 species
GGGAGUGACCGGCUUUGACGGUCUGUACCUUGAAAGACGUGCGACGCAGUGCUCUCCCGCCAACACUUUAAAAGGGCAGGGAAACAUACUUGCUAAGAAUACUCUUGCAAGCGUGAAGUCUCCAUACUUCGGUAUGCAGGACUUCGCGUUCGCGUUUGCGAAAGUCUAACGACCAACGCUGCGCGACGUUCAUCCUCCCUUGGUUUCUACAGCAGGAGGGAUGGGCGGAAUUACCUGUAGAAUCGGUUCCCGGAAUUCCGGUCGGGACGCCUAAAUAAGGAAUCGGGCAGGAAUGGUUUCGUCUGCGUUCCUCGCAUCCUGCCUCAGACAAUAACGCCGACUACGCGUCGUAGACUCUCUUUCAGAGACGGAUUCGGACUCGGGUUCGAUUCCCGACACUUCCACUA